UGUCAGAAUGGGAAAGGACCUAUAACGUAAAGGUGUCACAAAACUUCUUGUCUUUCGAUCCAAAUCAGGAAGAUGAAACCGGUGUCAAGAUCUUUCAGCUGAUAUUCAAGACCAUCAGAAGGAAACCAUCAUCAAGGCAUCAGAAUGAAACCAUCUACCAGUUUCAUAAUAAUAUUGGGAAUCGCUGUAAUAAUCGAAUAGAUGGAAAAAUCUUCACCACCCGAAAUUGUUUUACAGAAGAGCAAUUCAGAGUGAAGAUGAAGUUGAAAAUUUUAAAAAUUGUCUUUCUUUCUUCAAGAAGGAGAAAUCUCUGCAUGUGUUUCUUCAAGAACUGCAGCCUUAGAUAUUGGAUUGUUUAAUGGAAACUGAACUCAAAUGUUGAAAAUUACAAAUACAAACACUAAAAAGAAUGUAUACACUUUUAAUUUGUUUAUGUAAUACUACUUUAAUAUAUCUCAAAAUGCUUUAUCACUAAAUCAAUUAAUUACGUAAGUCUUUUAAGUUUAGUUCAGUAUUUGUUUUACAUGUUGUGUACAAAUUGCUUCAUUAUAUGGAUAAUCAAAUUAUUUAAUUCGAAUAAGUUAUUUUCAAGCUCCGAUUUUCAUCAAUAUUUUUUUUAAUAAGUAAUAGUGAUCGUUAUGAACUAUUCUAAUAUUUGAAGCAUAAUGAAAUGUGAUGGAUUUUAAAUAUCUUGUAUGAUAUGCUAUGUAAUAUAAUAAUAUAUUAUACUGUAUGUGAUGAAAGUCUUUCAUAUGCAAUAUAAUAUACUAUUAUACAAUAGGAUUUUAUAC